rnacentral:rRNA from 1 species
GACGAACGCUGGCGGCGUGCUUAACACAUGCAAGUCGAACGGUGAAGCCCUUCGGGGUGGAUCAGUGGCGAACGGGUGAGUAACACGUGAGCAACCUGCCCCUGGCUCUGGGACAACCACUGGAAACGGUGGCUAAUACCGGAUACGACCCGCCUCGGCAUCGAGUGAGGGUGGAAAGUUUUUCGGCUGGGGAUGGGCUCGCGGCCUAUCAGCUUGUUGGUGAGGUGAAGGCUCACCAAGGCGACGACGGGUAGCCGGCCUGAGAGGGCGACCGGCCACACUGGGACUGAGACACGGCCCAGACUCCUACGGGAGGCAGCAGUGGGGAAUAUUGCACAAUGGGCGAAAGCCUGAUGCAGCGACGCCGCGUGAGGGAUGACGGCCUUCGGGUUGUAAACCUCUUUCAGCUCCGAAGAAGCGAAAGUGACGGUAGGAGCAGAAGAAGCACCGGCUAACUACGUG